GACCUAGUAGUUAAAGUUAUAAUAACAAAUUGCAAAUUUGUAGUUACUAGAAGUUUAGGUUU
rnacentral:tRNA from 1 species